UAGAGGAGCCUGUUCUAGAACCGAUAACCCCCGUUCAACCUCACCACUUCUAGCCACCCCAGCCUAUAUACCGCCGUCGUCAGCUUACCCUGUGAAGGUAAUAAAAGUAAGCAAAAUGGGCACAACCCAAAACGUCAGGUCGAGGUGUAGCGCAUGAAGUGGGAAGAAAUGGGCUACAUUUUCUAAUAUAGAAUAUUACGAACAUGCACCAUGAAACAAUGCUUGAAGGAGGAUUUAGUAGUAAAAGGGAAAUAGAGUGUCCCUUUGAACCCGGCUCUGAGACGCGUACACACCGCCCGUCACUCUCCCCUGUCAAAACGCACCAAAAAUACAUAAUACAACAGCACUGACAAGGGGAGGCAAGUCGUAACACGGUAAGUGUACCGGAAGGUGCACUUGGAUCAAAC
rnacentral:rRNA from 1 species